CUCUUCUUCCUGAGUGAAGUGUACGCAGAAGGCAUGGCUUCUCAGCUGUUCCUCUAAGCAGCGGCUCUUUCCACCCAUCUGGAGAUUUAGAUUCUAGAGUUCGGUAUCACAUUUGCCUGCAGAUGUAAGUCACAUCUUUCAGCCUCGUUCUGUCAGUAAUAAAGGUGGGGCAACUGACACACAGAGGUAUUAAGCCCAAGGUCACUCUGUCCAUGAAUGAUGAAGCCAGUUGUGAACAGCCUACAACCAGAGCCUGGGCUCUUAAAUAUCAGGCUUUGCUGGCUUUGAUGAGUAGAUCUUUAUAUGAAGGCAAGUUCUUCCCCAUUGUGAAGGCACAUUGUGAAGGCACAUUCCCUGUAUGGAUAGGAAAAUAACACAGCACUGAAGUGUCUGCUAGGAUGGAAAAGUAAAUAUGAAAAAACCAAGGCUAUGACAAAAUGCUGAAUUAGAGUAUGUUCAAAUCAUAGCUACUCUAUAGGCUCAACCAGUAUAAGCACUGUUCCUAAUUGGUAAACCUAGAAGCGCAUUCUCCACCUGGAGGAUCUAGUGAGGUUUAAUCAAAAUAGUUUGUGUGAAAGUGACUGUUGUCUCAUAGAGACCCAGUAAAAGUUUGAUUUCUUGAAUAAUACAA
rnacentral:lncRNA from 1 species